rnacentral:lncRNA from 1 species
CCCCUCACAAGAUGCAUUAAAGCUUGUCUGCAGAAGGAUCCGAGUGUCCUGCGUAUGAUUUCUUGCUGGCGAGAAAUACAGAGCGUGCGCGGGACAUAUGGUGCCGAAACCCGGGAACAUGUGAACAUCUCCAGCACCUCGGAGACCCCUCUAACGAGGCGGAUUCAGAACUGCAGGGUGGUAAAUUCGGAGAGGUAUGUUUUUUCUGGACUUUGGCUUGGGAAUGUUGCUAUUUUGGGAGGUUAAUAUAGAGGCUUCUAUGCUUUUACUAGGAGCUAUUUUGACUUUUCUCACUGUUGUAGCAAUCUUAAAGAAGUCCAGAAUUACAUAUCAGAAACCGAAUGUGGUGAGAGAUGGGGCGGAUUCAGAACUGCAGGGUGGUAAAUUCGGAGAGGUAUGAUUUUUCUGGACUUUGGCUUGGGAAUGUUGCUAUUGUGGGAGGUUAAUAUAGAGGCUUCUAUGCUUUUACUAGGAGCUAUUUUGACUUUUCUCACUGUUGUAGCAAUCUUAAAGAAGUCCAGAAUUAUAUAUCAGAAACCGAAUGUGGUGAGAGAUGGGGCGCGCCUAACAAUAAAAUAUAAGGAAAAAGGACCUCCCGGGAUGUCUAGUGACAAGGGAGUGAAUAAUUUGUUAAGAGAAACAGCAAUAAAUAAGAAAAAAGGACCUCCUGGGAUGUCUACUGACAAGGGAGUGAAUAGUUUGUCAGAUGAUUCUGUAAAUAAGUUUAAAGCUUUAAAUCUUGAUAGCUCUAAUGACUCUAAAAGCUCAAGAGAUGGGGUUUUGG